GGGGUGACCAGUCCUCUACUGGCUGUACUGGGUAGAGAGGAACCAGGCUCUGAGGGGUGACCAGUCCUCUACUGGCUGUACUGGGUAGAGAGGAACCAGGCUCUGAGGGGUGACCAGUCCUCUACUGGCUGUACUGGGUAGACCAGAGGAACCAGGCUCUGAGGGUUGACCAGUCCUCUACUGACUGUACUGGGUAGAGAGGAACCAGGCUCUGAGGGGUGGCCAGUCCUCUACUGGCUGUACUGGGUAGACCAGAGGAACCAGGCUCUGAGGGGUGACCAGUCCUCUACUGGCUGUACUGGGUAGAGAGGAACCAGGCUCUGAGGGGUGACCAGUCCUCUACUGGCUGUACUGGGUAGACCAGAGGAACCAGGCUCUGAGGGGUGACCAGUCCUCUACUGGCUGUACUGGGUAGACCAGAGGAACCAGGCUCUGAGGGGUGACCAGUCCUCUACUGGCUGUACUGGGUAGACCAGAGGAACCAGGCUCUGAGGGGUGACCAGUCCUCUACUGACUGUACUGGGUAGAGAGGAACCAGGCUCUGAGGGGUGACCAGUCCUCUACUGGCUGUACUGGGUAGACCAGAGGAACCAGGCUCUGAGGGGUGACCAGUCCUCUACUGGCUGUACUGGGUAGAGAGGAACCAGGCUCUGAGGGGUGACCAGUCCUCUACUGGCUGUACUGGGUAGAGAGGAACCAGGCUCUGAGGGGUGACCAGUCCUCUACUGGCUGUACUGGGUAGACCAGAGGAACCAGGCUCUGAGGGGUGACCAGUC
rnacentral:lncRNA from 1 species